CUGCCCCUCACUUCGGGACAAGCCCUGGAAACGGGGUCUAAUACCGGAUGAUACCUCCACUCGCAUGGGUGGGGGUUGAAAGCUCCGGCGGUGAGGGAUGAGCCCGCGGCCUAUCAGCUAGUUGGUGAGGUAACGGGUCAGCAAGGCGACGACGGGUAGCCGGCCUGAGAGGGCGACCGGCCACACUGGGACUGAGACACGGCCCAGACUCCUACGGGAGGCAGCAGUGGGGAAUAUUGCACAAUGGGCGCAAGCCUGAGGGAGCGACGCCGCGUGAGGGAUGACGGCCUUCGGGUUGUAAACCUCUUUCAGCAGGGAAGAAGCGCAAGUGACGGUACCUGCAGAAGAAGCGCCGGCUAACUACGUGCCAGCAGCCGCGGUAAUACGUAGGGGCGCGAGCGUUGUCCGGAAUUAUUGGGCGUAAAGAGCUCGUAGGCGGCCUGUCGCGUCAAUUGUGAAAGCCCGGGGCUUAACCCCGGGUCUGCAGUCGAUACGGGCAGG
rnacentral:rRNA from 1 species